CCUACGGGCGGCUGCAGUCGAGAAUCAUUCACAAUGGGGGAAACCCUGAUGGUGCGACGCCGCGUGGGGGAAUGAAGGUCUUUGGAUUGUAAACCCCUGUCAUGUGGGAGCAAAUUAUAAAGGUAGUACCACAAGAGGAAGAGACGGCUAACUCUGUGCCAGCAGCCGCGGUAAUACAGAGGUCUCAAGCGGUGUUCGGAAUCACUGGGCGUAAAGCGUGCGUAGGCUGUUUCGUAAGUAUGGUGUGAAAGGCGCGGGCUCAACCGUCGGACGGCACAUGAUACUGCGAGACUAGAGUAAAGGAGAGGGAACCGGAAUUCGCGGUGUAGCAGUGAAAUGCGUAGAUAUCGAGAGGAACACUCGUGGCGAAGGCGGGUUCCUGGACAUUAACUGACGCUGAGGCACGAAGGCCAGGGGAGCGAACGGGAUUAGAUACCCCUGUAGUC
rnacentral:rRNA from 1 species